AUUGAACGCUGGCGGCAUGCCUAACACAUGCAAGUCGAGCGCCACGGCGGACGGGUGGGUAAUGCCUAGGAAUCUGCCUGGUAGUGGGCGAUCCCUCCGGGAAACGGGAGCUAAUACCGCAUACUUUCAGAUGAGCCUCGGUCGGAUUAGCUAGUUGGUGGGGGAAAGGCAUACCAAGGCGACGAUCCGUAACUGGCCUGAGAGGAUGAUCAGUCACACUGGGACUGAGACACGGGCCAGACUCCUACGGGAGGCAGCAGGAGGGAAUAUUGGGCAAUGGACGAAAGUCUGAUCCAGCAAUGCCGCGUGUGUGAAGAAGGUUUUCGGAUUGUAAAACACUGUAAUUUGAGAAGCGUUACCAACAGAGAAAGCCACGGCUAACUACGUGCCAGCAGCCGCGGUAAUAC
rnacentral:rRNA from 1 species